GAGGUUGUGGCUCAGUGGAAGAGCGCUCGCCUGGCAUGCAUGAGGCACUGGGUUCGAUCCUCAGCACCACA
rnacentral:tRNA from 1 species